rnacentral:tRNA from 1 species
GCCCUGGUGGUGUAGUCUGGCUCAGCACUAAGCCAAUAAGAUGGCUUUUGUUGCAGCAGCUAUCAUGAAGCCCUGUCGAGGCUUCGACCCGGGUUCGAAUACUUUCGGACUGGUUUGAAAGGAACAAGACGAAGUCGACUUUCCCGGCCAGGGCG